rnacentral:lncRNA from 1 species
CUAAUCUCCCCUUCAUUUCCUGUCAGUGGCUUCAAAUUCCCCAUUCUUAUCAUUGAAGUCACAAAGCUUUUAAAGAAAGCAGCCUGGUUCUUGCGAAAGACAUUGACAAUGUCAAUGGUAUCGGCACCGGGAGUCGAAAACAGCUCUUGAUCACUCUGCAGAAGGCCUUUGCGGUUUCUGAGAUUGGAGAAGUAUUUGUUGUCGAAAACAUUAGGGGUUGUGACGUCUAAAUUUGUUAGAACGCUGCCGUUUCCACCUUGUGGGCAUAGUUGCCUCAGUUGUUGUAAGAAGGUUGCGUCUAGGGUUGGGUCUGGAUUGCCAGUGUUGUUGAAAUUGAAUAAUCUUACGCUGAAAAAUCGGCACUGAGCUCUUCCAAAUGUGUGAGCUCCUGAAAAUUAUACAUGCACAGCAAAUCCUUGUAAUCUUGCUCUAUUCAUACAAGGAAUAAUAUUAUAAUUCGCUUAGUGAUAAUAACACAAUUUUCUGUAGCAUGACCACCUUUAUUUAGAUGACCGCUCCAUGUGGAAUCCUGGACCUCUAAAAAUUUACUCUCAUAACUUUACUUAAAAUUAAAGGGUGAGAAGCAAAAUAUUUACCGGAGAGUGCAACAAGAUCAAAAUUAUCGUUGAGGCCGACAUUUCUAAAACUAGCUUUGAGCCUGUCAAGAGUAUCAAACGGUGAUGGAAGAUUCUGAUUUGCAAGAGUUCUGUUUGCUGUUCUGCUGUCUCUUCUUCCCAAUAGAUUUGUCCACGAAGGACCCCCUGACUGUAACCAAAACCAUUCAGUUCAUUACUCACAAUCAGCAACAAACUUAAGAGAUGUAUAAUAAGCAAAUUUUAUCAAAAUCAGAAAUAGACAAUUAAUCUUUCGGGCUUUCAAUUUGUGUGUGUUUGGGUCGGAUCAUUUUGCUAAUAAUGUGGGACAGUCUUAUCACGUCGUCAUAAAAUUUUGAAUCAAGCUUUGUUGUGUAAUGGAAUCCAACGUCAUAGUUGAAAACGAUGGGAUCUUAAAAGUGAUCGAUGGGUUCCAUGAUGAAUCCCAUCACAACUUUUAAAUCAAUUACCACGUGGUAGGACAAUGAAAUCUUAGAUUUUUGUAGUUGUCUCGUUGAAAUGCACAUGCAACUAUGCAAGACUAAAAACGUGGAUUCAAUUUUUUCCCAUUUUUCCGUGAGAAUUAUUAUUUGAGUAAUUACCCGGAUAAAACUGUGGUGCAACUGUAGUACCGUGCCACAGUUGCACCCAACCGUUGGAUUUCCACUUAUUUAAGUGGACCCUACUCAUUUGAGUGGAUCCAACGAUUGGUGCAACUGUGGCACGGUACCACAGUUGCACUGUAGCCUGACCCGUAAUUACCCACCUACUACUUGUUUUUUUCUAACUUUUUAAAAAAUACAUAAUAUUUUUAGAACUUUUCUAAUAUCAUAAGAGUAAAAUUAUCAUUUCACAACGACAAGACAGAAGUGGACGUGCAAAAUAAUAUAACUUUAAGUGGAGUUCAGCAAAAAAUAAAAGAAAAUUAAGAAUUGUAUAUUUUUCAAAAAAUGUAAGAAAAAGGUAGUCGAUGAAUAAUUGCUAUUUUAUAUUUGGAGAUAAAAAGUCAUUUAUACAAUAUUCCAUGAAUUCUCUUAACAGUGCAAAAUAAUAUAAUUUCGAAUGAAGUUCAGCAAAAAAUUAAGAAUUAUAUAUAUUUUAAAUAAUACAAAAGAACAAGUGGUCGAUGGAUAAUUACCCUAAUUAUUUUAUUAUUAAAGAAGUGGAGUUGUUAAUAGAAAUUCAUACCAAAGCAACAGAUUGUUCAGCUGCAAUAGUAAGAAUAUCAGCACAGGAAACAACCCUUGGACAGGCCUUUUCAACGGCAGCUUUCAUCUGAUCAAUAACUUCAAAACCCCUCGCCGAAUUAUUAUUUGGCGCAGCAAAUUUCUCACUGUCUAUGGUUGUAGUGUUGUCCAACAAAACUGAUGCAUCACAGCCCUGAAAUGAUAUUAUUAAUUAAUAACUUGUCAUGUUAAGUGUCGUUGUAUCGUUAAUUUAAUAAGUUGAUAGAUUCCUUCUUAUCUCAUGACAAAUAAAUAAAAGUAACGCAAAGUCGUCUUAUUGUAAUUGUCUUAUCGUCAAAUAUGUUUUCAAGACUAGGAUUUACUCCCGACUUAAGCUUUUCAGUUGGAGUAGUUGAAUUUUAAACUAAAUUAAUAAUAGACUCAAGGCAUCAUCAAAAGCACUCAACAAGAAAUAGAUCACUAGAGGAUUUUAAUCCUUGAUUUAGGCUAUGUCUUUGUUUGAUUUUAAUUUCUAAUGUAUGAAAAUCACAUAUAUAAGUGUCUUUUUGAAAAAUUACACGGUCUUCGGUGCAUCAAAAUUAGAAAGAAAAAAAAUCGUCCUAUGAAUUGAGAAAAUCAGAUCUUUUUAAAUUUAUGAAUAUGCGGGCAGAAGAAGGAUGCACGAGUAGCAUACAAGUAAAAGCAAUAAAAAAAAAGGAUAUAUAAAAAGGGUUUGGAUUUUAAAAAAUGACAUAUUCAAACAGUUCUUUAGGUUUUAAGUAAAUCUAUAUUUUGUUUAAAGCCACUAAAGAGAAUAUAUAUAUAUAUAUAUAUAUUGGCAUACUUAAACUACAUAUGUUAUAUCAAUAUAGUAAAUAGAAGAAAAAAACAAAGAUUAGAGAUUGAUACAUUAACAAAACAGUCAUGGAAAUGAAGCCUGAUAAGGCUGGCACCGAUACGAAUAUCGGACAAGAAAGCUUUCUGAAGCACCCCCCGAAUUAUGUUGGUUACAUUAGGGCAUGUGGAAGAAUAAAAAAAGGGAGACAGUUGAUCAGCUUGAGAUGGUGAUGAUCCCUUAAGAACAAUAGCAACUACAAGAGCAGCUGCAAGAAGAUAGCGCAGAGUGGCCAUUUGAAGAGAUCAAUGAUAGUGAGAGCUAUCCAUAACUCUCUUGCAUGACUAUUUAUAAUCUGAAGCAAACAGGAUUAGAACUUGCCAACAACCAAGAAGUUUCACAUUGUAUAUUGUAAAAGUCAACUGUUUUAAAAUAAAGUAUAGUAGCUUAUUGUGGGUGUUUUUAUACUUAUAUUUUAAUAUAGAAAUAAAUUGUUUUUGGUAACUUUCAAAAUAAGUUGGGUAACUAAUUUUAAAAUAAUUAUGUUUUAAAUAAAAAUAGUAAUGUAUUUGAUAGUUUGUUUGAAAGAAUUUAGUAAAAUUAAAGAUUUGUGAGGCCCAUCUAUUUUUUAAAAUUAAUAGUUGAGUUUUAAACGUGAACUUAUUUGGUGGCUGCAAAUUAUGAACCCAUUUUUGAUUUCGGUGAAAAAGAAAAUGUAAAAUGCAAAACAGAAAACGUAAAAUGGUUUGAUGAAAUAAUUACGUGAUUAAUUUUUUCCCAAAGAUUUAGUGAAAGCAUAUUUUUCUCCACAUAUUUUUGAAGUCGUACCGAUCCUCCCUGCUGUUUUAUUUAUUUAUUUAUAGUAUUUACAGAAACGAAACCAAAACUCUCCUCAGUCCUCACCCACAUGAGUGGUUGAAUCUAAGCCACUUAAAGUUAAUAAUUCAUGAAAUGGUGCCUUUGUUUGGUGGCGACCGUGGCCGGGGCCUUGGCCUCUGAUUAAUAUUAUUUCUUUUAGCGUGUGGAUUCCACAAAUCGAAACCCUUCGGAAUUUUAAUUAUUAUUUACUGAAAUAUCAUUUUGCCUAUGACUUCUAUAUAUUAUGCCUAUAGCUAGUGAUUGUUACGUAAUUCAUAUUAAAAAUUAAUUUCAGAGUUGUAACUAUUUUAAUUAACUGAUGUAAGGUAAAUUCCUUAACAGACAAAUUCAUCUUUGUUCUCUUAGAUUAUAAAAGAUAAAAGGCACGUAAUUAAGUUUAAGAGAAAACUGAUUUAAAUGUCAAGGAUGAAACGAAAAAAUAAUAAGAGACUCGAAUGAUAAAAAGAAUUUCUAAGAGAACGAAAGUAUCAUUCGACAAAUAAAUUUAGAUUCAUAGACUUUUCUGUCCGAUCUAAUAUUAAUUCUUAGCGGUGAGCCUACGGCAGAAGCCACAUGUAUACAUAAUUUUUAUUGGUUAAAACGUGACAUUGAUGAUGUUGAAAAAAAAACAAAUGAUAAACAAAAUUACGCGUAGAAAGCAGGAUGUGAACACACAAACACAAGUUUAAUUAAUCUAUUUGAAAAUACAUAACAUCUUUCAGAUAAGACCAUUAGAUUAAACUCAAGUUUGAUCGUUAAUUUAUUUGAAAGUACAUAACAUGUUUCAGGCAAAACGAUAAGAUUAAAUUUGAGUUUGAUAAGCACAAAAACUCUCGCGCCUAUGCUGCAAGCUAGCUUAUUUAGAAAGAGCUGACCAAAUCACCCUCUGAUGAUGAUCUUGUUGCAAUAUUACUGUUUCCAUUGACCCUCCUGCAGUUCAAUCUAAUCUCCCCUUGAUUUCCUGUCAGUGGUUUCAAAUUGCCCAUUCUUAUCAUUGAGGUCACAAAGUUUUUAAAGAAAGCAGUCUGGUUCCUCCCAAAGUCCUGGACAAUGGCAGCGGUAUCGGCACCAGGAGUCGAAAACAACUCUUGAUCACUCUGCAGAAGGCCUUUGCGGCCUCUAAGAUUGGAGAAGUAUUUGUUGUCGAAAACAUCAGGUGUCGUGACAUCAAAAUUAGCAAGAACGCCGCCGUUUCCACCUUGUGGGCAUAGUUUCCUCAGUUGUUGUAAGAAGGUUGCGUCUAGGGUUGGGUCUGGCUUGCCAGUAUUGUUAAAAUCGUAUAAUCUGCCCCUGAAAAAUUGGCACUGAGCCCUUCCGAACGUGUGAGCUCCUGAAAAAACAUGCAUGACCAAAUCUUUGUUAUUUUUACUGAAUUCACAUACGAGGAACAAUAAUGAUAAUUUUAUUGUUAGGGAUAUUAUUUAAAUAUUGAGUUAAGUAAAUAUAAAUUUAAGGCACCAACACUCAUUUCUUGAAUUAACUUUUGAGUAUGAGUUACUAUUAGCAGGCAGUUUUGACUCCUAAAAGUUUACUCUCAUAACUUUACUCAAGUAACUAAAAGGAUGUAGAAGCAAUUAAUAAUUACCGGAGAGUGCAACAAGAUCAAAC